GGCGAACCGUGCUAACGUGGUUCGGAAUCACUGGGCUUAAAGGGCGCGUAGGCGGCUUGUCAAGUCGGGGGUGAAAUCUUUCGGCUUAACCGGAAAAGGGCCUUCGAUACUGACAAGCUAGAGGGAGGUAGGGGCAUGUGGAACUUCCGGUGGAGCGGUGAAAUGUGUUGAUAUCGGAAGGAACGCCGGUGGCGAAAGCGACAUGCUGGAUCUCUACUGACGCUGAGGCGUGAAAGCCAGGGGAGCAAACGGG
rnacentral:misc_RNA from 1 species